AGUAUAGGAGAAUCAGUAAGCUCACUCGUCAAAAAAUUUGUUCCAUGCGCGAAGUUGACCAAAAUUCGUUUCACCGUGCGCAUCCGAUAAAGCGGAUCGGAUAUGUUUGCUACGAUUGGUCGGGAGUCGGGAUCGUGUCAUUCAUCAUCUGAUUUUCUUUUGAGAAUUUUUUGAGGUUGUGUUUGGGAAUUGGAUUGUUUUGGUUAAUUUACUACUUUGUUCUCAUAUUAAUAAUAUAUAUUAUGUACGUGUAAAAUAUUAUGUGCUGUGAAUGUGAUAUUAUUUUCUUAAAUCAAUAAAAUGGAAAUAAAGCAAGCAGAAAAUAAUUUUUACAAAGAAGAAUGUAAAAUUAAAAUCGAAAAUUCUGGACAACCUGUGUGAUGCUGUAAUAGUUCCUAUUCUGUUAAAACUUUAAAACUGAGAUAGAGUAGAGACUGUAGAGAGUCUUUAAAACUGAUAAAAGUAGUUAUUUCUAUGGUGGAAAUUUUUUGGACCAAAUAAAUAGUGAAGACAUCAAAUAAAAGGAGGAUAGAUAAUUCAUGUCCAAAAUGAUUUUCUUCAUAAUAAAUGAAGAACUGAAGUUAUUGUAAAACCAGUGGCUGGACAUUCUCCUGUCAAGAAGAACAACCCAUUAGCAAGUGUGCAAAAGAAACAAUGAAAUUGUGAAAUUUGUUUUAGGUUAUUUACCUGUGUAGAUUAUUUGAAAAAACAUUUAAGAGCACACACUGGAGAAAAACCUUAUCAAUGUGAAAUCUGCGUUAAGCAAUUUUCUCUAAAUUCUCCUCUAAAUCGACAUAAAUAUAUGAUAGUUCAUACUCGGGAAAAAUCUCACAAAUGUGAAAUCGUUUACCACUGUGUGUCAUAUGAAAGCACAUUUUAGAACACACAGUGGUAAAAAACCUUAUGAAUGCAACAUUUGUAGUAAGCAAUUGUUGACUGCAAAAACAAAUUUAAAUAAAAAAGUGACAAAGAUGUGACAGAAA
rnacentral:lncRNA from 1 species